UAGCUCAGUUCGUAGAGCGCACGACUUUUAAUCGUGUGGUCAUGGGUUCGAUCCCCAC
rnacentral:tRNA from 1 species